GUCGUACGAGAGUUUUUAACUCAAGUGGCGGACGGGUGAGUAACACGUAAGAAUUUGCCUUUAGGAGGGGGAUAACAACUGGAAACGGUUGCUAAUACCCCAUAUGCUUUCGAGUGAAAUGGAUUUUUCCGCCUAGAGAGAAGCUUGCGGCUGAUUAGCUUGUUGGUAGGGUAACGGCCUACCAAGGCGACGAUCAGUAUCUGGUUUGAGAGGACGAUCAGACACACUGGAACUGAGACACGGUCCAGACUCCUACGGGAGGCAGCAGUGGGGAAUUUUCCGCAAUGGGCGAAAGCCUGACGGAGCAAUACCGCGUGAGGGAUGACGGCCUAUGGGUUGUAAACCUCUUUUUUCAGGGAGGAAUCAAAUGACGUGUACCUGAAGAAUAAGCAUCGGCUAACUCCGUGCCAGCAGCCGCGGUAAUACG
rnacentral:rRNA from 1 species